GUGGGUGUGGCGGAGUGGUUAUCGAGCAUGACUAGAAAUCAUGUGGGCUUUACCUGUGUAGGUUCAAACCCCGCCGCUCACG
rnacentral:tRNA from 1 species